rnacentral:rRNA from 1 species
UGGGGAAUAUUGCACAAUGGGCGAAAGCCUGAUGCAGCGACGCCGCGUGAGGGAUGACGGCCUUCGGGUUGUAAACCUCUUUCAGUAGGGACGAAGCGCAAGUGACGGUACCUGCAGAAGAAGCACCGGCUAACUACGUGCCAGCAGCCGCGGUAAUACGUAGGGUGCGAGCGUUGUCCGGAAUUACUGGGCGUAAAGAGCUCGUAGGCGGUUUGUCACGUCGUCUGUGAAAUCCUAGGGCUUAACCCUGGACGUGCAGGCGAUACGGGCUGACUUGAGUACUACAGGGGAGACUGGAAUUUCUGGUGUAGCGGUGGCAUGCACAGAUAUCAGGAAGAACACCGAUGGCGAAGGCAGGUCUCUGGGUAGGAACUGACGCUGAGGAGCGAAAGCAUGGGUAGUGAACAGG